GCCUACGGGACGCAGCAGUGAGGAAUAUUGGUCAAUGGGCGGAAGCCUGAACCAGCCAAGUCGCGUGAGGGAAUAAGGCCCUACGGGUCGUAAACCUCUUUUGCCGGGGAGCAAGGGCGGGGACGUGUCCCGGCCCGGAGAGUGCCGGGAGAAAAAGCAUCGGCUAACUCCGUGCCAGCAGCCGCGGUAGUACGGAGGAUGCGAGCGUUAUCCGGAUUUAUUGGGUUUACAGGGUGCGUAGGCGGGCUUUUAAGUCAGCGGUAAAAAUUCGGGGCUCAACCCCGACCGGCCGUUGAAACUGGGGG
rnacentral:rRNA from 1 species